GACGAACGCUGGCGGCGUGCUUAACACAUGCAAGUCGAACGGUAAGGCCCUUCGGGGUACACGAGUGGCGAACGGGUGAGUAACACGUGGGUGAUCUGCCCUGCACUUCGGGAUAAGCCUGGGAAACUGGGUCUAAUACCGGAUAGGACUCCUGGCUUCAUGGUUGGGGGUGGAAAGCUGUUGCGGUGUGGGAUGGGCCCGCGGCCUAUCAGCUUGUUGGUGGGGUAAUGGCCUACCAAGGCGACGACGGGUAGCCGGCCUGAGAGGGUGACCGGUCACACGGGGACUGAGAUACUGCCCAGACUCCUACGGGAGGCAGCAGUGGGGAAUAUUGCACAAUGGGCGCAAGCCUGAUGCAGCGACGCCGCGUGAGGGAUGACGGCCUUCGGGUUGUAAACCUCUUUCAGCUAUGACGAAGCGCAAGUGACGGUAGUAGCAGAAGAAGGACCGGCCAACUACGUGCCAGCCGCCGCAGUAA
rnacentral:rRNA from 1 species